rnacentral:lncRNA from 1 species
UCACUGCGAAGCUAUAGUCAAGGUGCACGGGGUCUUGCCGUCUAGCCGUUGGUACCACUUUUUAAAAGAUUACAAAAACUAUGAAUUGAAGUGAUUACUCAAUAUUCGAUUGGAAUGGAUUUACAACAAUUCUAAAAAAAUUAUGAAUUUUCUAUUUCAUAAUCAUUCCUAUUUUCACUCUAAAAUUGAACUAAAGAGCCUAUAUUAUGAUAUGAGUUAUGUGAUUAAUCGUUUGCUAUGUCAGUAUCUAUAUGUGUAUUAGAUUUCGAAAGCCCUUCUUUCUCUAAUUUAGAAGGGAGUUCCGCUACCAACACAAUGUAAUUAACUCGAUUCGUUAGAACAGCU